GGUUGACCUCGGAUCAGGUAGGAAUACCCGCUGAACUUAAGC
rnacentral:rRNA from 1 species